ACCAAAUAAAUAAUCACGGGAGGUUCUGAUUAGGGUUGUCAAUUUGCAUUUUCAAUGGCAUGUGACCAUAGAAAACCAAGUAAAUAGAAUAGAAUAGCUCAACAGGUGCUGGUUGGCAAGGGGCAAUGACAUUCUCGAAAUCUCGCUUCAGCAUCUCGAAAGCGCAACAAAAUGUAUCCGAAAUUGCAACGCAAUGAUGAGGCAUUCGGAAUUUCGUUUCAAUCUCCCAACAAUCUGCUUGAAUGUGGGCGACAUGAUUGCACCUUUACGAGAUCAAGGUAACUCUGACACCUCUGAAGGUCAGCCUGGCCCCAGGCUUGUUCCUUUCGUUUCAGUUAAAUGUUUCCACCCAUGGACGACGUUACACUGGACAUAUUUGACGCCGCCAAAUGUACCCUGAUAAUAAAACGGAAAUUUUAGAAACGACUGAACUCAACCUCCCGACCAGAAAUUGAAAAAAUCAUGGUCACGCUCUCCAAGCCAGGCAAAUUACCUCGCCAUAGAAAUUCGAAAUAAUAGGGAGGAACAUGGCCAGUUUGAGGCAGUAAUUGGAGGAAUUCCUGUCUACCAGGAUUUUUUUCCUAUUAUUCAAGUUUUUCAGCUGUCCAAGUUAAGUUGAGGUGAACGAGGGAUACCAUGAUAUUUGACUUGUUCCAAUAAAAAUUACAAGUGACAAGAAUUCGUUUAAAGUUCCAAAAUAUUUUUGAUGUGAGUGGUUGCCAGAAACAUCCAAGCACUCCUUGAAAGUGAAUCAGACAUGUUUAAUUAACUACAGAGCGAAAAAGGGGCCAACUACUACACGAUCCUGGAAUUCCAAGGUCAAUCAUUUUGGAUUGUAAACAACAAUAUACGUGAAAAUUGGACCAUAUUGACUGGAAAUGAUCAGCAGUAACCUCUUAAACAGGAUGGAGGGUGAAAGCCGAUCCAAGUUACUGGCAUCCCAACCAUCAAUCAAAGUUGAACCUUUACGCCAACCCAAGUCUGCGAUUCCAGAAUGUCCCUAUUGGAAAUGCCCAAAACAAUUGCACUCGCAAGAUUCGCGAAAAUGCACGGUUAUUUGCCAGUACUGGCUCAGACAUCAACUCAUGUGGUGACUUUUGAUGGUGCCUUUGAAUCAGCGUGAUUACUAGAACUCGGAAAAAAGUUCGAACUUGGCAAAAGAGCAUUGUAGAGUGGUAGCUAGUCAUAAUCUAUAACGACUAGGUUUUGUGAGAAGGAAAAUAACGUUCCAUCAUAUCACUAUCAUCUGUCACUCUUGCAUAAACAAGAACAAAUACAAUCUAUCAUCUUUCCAUCAAACAACCGGCUCUCCACUUCUCUGCGCUCUCGCGUCCCCGCUUCCCAAACAUUUUAAAAACAUUUGAUUAUUUAGCCAUUUUCGAUCGAAUAAAUUUCUCCCUAUUUUUAAACUAUUUUUUCUUACUGGUUUUCACAUUUUCGAACAUUUUUAGUGUUUUGCCAUUUGGAUCUUCAUUU